UACGGAGGAUGCAAGCGUUAUCCGGAUUUAUUGGGUUUAAAGGGUGCGUAGGCGGAUAUGCAAGUCAGCGGUGAAACUCACAGGCUCAACCUGUGCCGUGCCGUUGAAACUGUGUAUCUGGAAUGCGGAUGCUGUGGGAGGAAUGUGUAGUGUAGCGGUGAAAUGCAUAGAUAUUACACAGAGCACCGAUUGCGAAGGCAUCUCACAAAGCCGUUAUUGACGCUGAGGCACGAAAGUGUGGGGA
rnacentral:rRNA from 1 species